CCGGCGCACGGGUGGGUAACACGUAUCCAACCUGCCGUCUACUCUUGGACAGCCUUCUGAAAGGAAAGAUUAAUACAAGAUGGCAUCAUGAGUUCACAUGUUCACAUGAUUAAAGGUAUUCCGGUAGACGAUGGGGAUGCGUUCCAUUAGAUAGUAGGCGGGGUAACGGCCCACCUAGUCUUCGAUGGAUAGGGGUUCUGAGAGGAAGGUCCCCCACAUUGGAACUGAGACACGGUCCAA
rnacentral:rRNA from 1 species